rnacentral:lncRNA from 1 species
AGCCAGCGCAGGGGCUUCUGCUGAGGGGGCAGGCGGAGCUUGAGGAAACCGCAGAUAAGUUUUUUUCUCUUUGAAAGAUAGAGAUUAAUACAACUACUUAAAAAAUAUAGUCAAUAGGUUACUAAGAUAUUGCUUAGCGUUAAGUUUUUAACGUAAUUUUAAUAGCUUAAGAUUUUAAGAGAAAAUAUGAAGACUUAGAAGAGUAGCAUGAGGAAGGAAAAGAUAAAAGGUUUCUAAAACAUGACGGAGGUUGAGAUGAAGCUUCUUCAUGGAGUAAAAAAUGUAUUUAAAAGAAAAUUGAGAGAAAGGACUACAGAGCCCCGAAUUAAUACCAAUAGAAGGGCAAUGCUUUUAGAUUAAAAUGAAGGUGACUUAAACAGCUUAAAGUUUAGUUUAAAAGUUGUAGGUGAUUAAAAUAAUUUGAAGGCGAUCUUUUAAAAAGAGAUUAAACCGAAGGUGAUUAAAAGACCUUGAAAUCCAUGACGCAGGGAGAAUUGCGUCAUUUAAAGCCUAGUUAACGCAUUUACUAAACGCAGACGAAAAUGGAAAGAUUAAUUGGGAGUGGUAGGAUGAAACAAUUUGGAGAAGAUAGAAGUUUGAAGUGGAAAACUGGAAGACAGAAGUACGGGAAGGCGAAGAAAAGAAUAGAGAAGAUAGGGAAAUUAGAAGAUAAAAACAUACUUUUAGAAGAAAAAAGAUAAAUUUAAACCUGAAAAGUAGGAAGCAGAAGAAAAAAGACAAGCUAGGAAACAAAAAGCUAAGGGCAAAAUGUACAAACUUAGAAGAAAAUUGGAAGAUAGAAACAAGAUAGAAAAUGAAAAUAUUGUCAAGAGUUUCAGAUAGAAAAUGAAAAACAAGCUAAGACAAGUAUUGGAGAAGUAUAGAAGAUAGAAAAAUAUAAAGCCAAAAAUUGGAUAAAAUAGCACUGAAAAAAUGAGGAAAUUAUUGGUAACCAAUUUAUUUUAAAAGCCCAUCAAUUUAAUUUCUGGUGGUGCAGAAGUUAGAAGGUAAAGCUUGAGAAGAUGAGGGUGUUUACGUAGACCAGAACCAAUUUAGAAGAAUACUUGAAGCUAGAAGGGGAAGUUGGUUAAAAAUCACAUCAAAAAGCUACUAAAAGGACUGGUGUAAUUUAAAAAAAACUAAGGCAGAAGGCUUUUGGAAGAGUUAGAAGAAUUUGGAAGGCCUUAAAUAUAGUAGCUUAGUUUGAAAAAUGUGAAGGACUUUCGUAACGGAAGUAAUUCAAGAUCAAGAGUAAUUACCAACUUAAUGUUUUUGCAUUGGACUUUGAGUUAAGAUUAUUUUUUAAAUCCUGAGGACUAGCAUUAAUUGACAGCUGACCCAGGUGCUACACAGAAGUGGAUUCAGUGAAUCUAGGAAGACAGCAGCAGACAGGAUUCCAGGAACCAGUGUUUGAUGAAGCUAGGACUGAGGAGCAAGCGAGCAAGCAGCAGUUCGUGGUGAAGAUAGGAAAAGAGUCCAGGAGCCAGUGCGAUUUGGUGAAGGAAGCUAGGAAGAAGGAAGGAGCGCUAACGAUUUGGUGGUGAAGCUAGGAAAAAGGAUUCCAGGAAGGAGCGAGUGCAAUUUGGUGAUGAAGGUAGCAGGCGGCUUGGCUUGGCAACCACACGGAGGAGGCGAGCAGGCGUUGUGCGUAGAGGAUCCUAGACCAGCAUGCCAGUGUGCCAAGGCCACAGGGAAAGCGAGUGGUUGGUAAAAAUCCGUGAGGUCGGCAAUAUGUUGUUUUUCUGGAACUUACUUAUGGUAACCUUUUAUUUAUUUUCUAAUAUAAUGGGGGAGUUUCGUACUGAGGUGUAAAGGGAUUUAUAUGGGGACGUAGGCCGAUUUCCGGGUGUUGUAGGUUUCUCUUUUUCAGGCUUAUACUCAUGAAUCUUGUCUGAAGCUUUUGAGGGCAGACUGCCAAGUCCUGGAGAAAUAGUAGAUGGCAAGUUUGUGGGUUUUUUUUUUUUACACGAAUUUGAGGAAAACCAAAUGAAUUUGAUAGCCAAAUUGAGACAAUUUCAGCAAAUCUGUAAGCAGUUUGUAUGUUUAGUUGGGGUAAUGAAGUAUUUCAGUUUUGUGAAUAGAUGACCUGUUUUUACUUCCUCACCCUGAAUUCGUUUUGUAAAUGUAGAGUUUGGAUGUGUAACUGAGGCGGGGGGGAGUUUUCAGUAUUUUUUUUUGUGGGGGUGGGGGCAAAAUAUGUUUUCAGUUCUUUUUCCCUUAGGUCUGUCUAGAAUCCUAAAGGCAAAUGACUCAAGGUGUAACAGAAAACAAGAAAAUCCAAUAUCAGGAUAAUCAGACCACCACAGGUUUACAGUUUAUAGAAACUAGAGCAGUUCUCACGUUGAGGUCUGUGGAAGAGAUGUCCAUUGGAGAAAUGGCUGGUAGUUACUCUUUUUUCCCCCCACCCCCUUAAUCAGACUUUAAAAGUGCUUAACCCCUUAAACUUGUUAUUUUUUACUUGAAGCAUUUUGGGAUGGUCUUAACAGGGAAGAGAGAGGGUGGGGGAGAAAAUGUUUUUUUCUAAGAUUUUCCACAGAUGCUAUAGUACUAUUGACAAACUGGGUUAGAGAAGGAGUGUACCGCUGUGCUGUUGGCACGAACACCUUCAGGGACUGGAGCUGCUUUUAUCCUUGGAAGAGUAUUCCCAGUUGAAGCUGAAAAGUACAGCACAGUGCAGCUUUGGUUCAUAUUCAGUCAUCUCAGGAGAACUUCAGAAGAGCUUGAGUAGGCCAAAUGUUGAAGUUAAGUUUUCCAAUAAUGUGACUUCUUAAAAGUUUUAUUAAAGGGGAGGGGCAAAUAUUGGCAAUUAGUUGGCAGUGGCCUGUUACGGUUGGGAUUGGUGGGGUGGGUUUAGGUAAUUGUUUAGUUUAUGAUUGCAGAUAAACUCAUGCCAGAGAACUUAAAGUCUUAGAAUGGAAAAAGUAAAGAAAUAUCAACUUCCAAGUUGGCAAGUAACUCCCAAUGAUUUAGUUUUUUUCCCCCCAGUUUGAAUUGGGAAGCUGGGGGAAGUUAAAUAUGAGCCACUGGGUGUACCAGUGCAUUAAUUUGGGCAAGGAAAGUGUCAUAAUUUGAUACUGUAUCUGUUUUCCUUCAAAGUAUAGAGCUUUUGGGGAAGGAAAGUAUUGAACUGGGGGUUGGUCUGGCCUACUGGGCUGACAUUAACUACAAUUAUGGGAAAUGCAAAAGUUGUUUGGAUAUGGUAGUGUGUGGUUCUCUUUUGGAAUUUUUUUCAGGUGAUUUAAUAAUAAUUUAAAACUACUAUAGAAACUGCAGAGCAAAGGAAGUGGCUUAAUGAUCCUGAAGGGAUUUCUUCUGAUGGUAGCUUUUGUAUUAUCAAGGAGGGGAAACUUUUUUUUUUUCUAUAGACUUUUUUCAGAUAACAUCUUCUGAGUCAUAACCAGCCUGGCAGUAUGAUGGCCUAGAUGCAGAGAAAACAGCUCCUUGGUGAAUUGAUAAGUAAAGGCAGAAAAGAUUAUAUGUCAUACCUCCAUUGGGGAAUAAGCAUAACCCUGAGAUUCUUACUACUGAUGAGAACAUUAUCUGCAUAUGCCAAAAAAUUUUAAGCAAAUGAAAGCUACCAAUUUAAAGUUACGGAAUCUACCAUUUUAAAGUUAAUUGCUUGUCAAGCUAUAACCACAAAAAUAAUGAAUUGAUGAGAAAUACAAUGAAGAGGCAAUGUCCAUCUCAAAAUACUGCUUUUACAAAAGCAGAAUAAAAGCGAAAAGAAAUGAAAAUGUUACACUACAUUAAUCCUGGAAUAAAAGAAGCCGAAAUAAAUGAGAGAUGAGUUGGGAUCAAGUGGAUUGAGGAGGCUGUGCUGUGUGCCAAUGUUUCGUUUGCCUCAGACAGGUAUCUCUUCGUUAUCAGAAGAGUUGCUUCAUUUCAUCUGGGAGCAGAAAACAGCAGGCAGCUGUUAACAGAUAAGUUUAACUUGCAUCUGCAGUAUUGCAUGUUAGGGAUAAGUGCUUAUUUUUAAGAGCUGUGGAGUUCUUAAAUAUCAACCAUGGCACUUUCUCCUGACCCCUUCCCUAGGGGAUUUCAGGAUUGAGAAAUUUUUCCAUCGAGCCUUUUUAAAAUUGUAGGACUUGUUCCUGUGGGCUUCAGUGAUGGGAUAGUACACUUCACUCAGAGGCAUUUGCAUCUUUAAAUAAUUUCUUAAAAGCCUCUAAAGUGAUCAGUGCCUUGAUGCCAACUAAGGAAAUUUGUUUAGCAUUGAAUCUCUGAAGGCUCUAUGAAAGGAAUAGCAUGAUGUGCUGUUAGAAUCAGAUGUUACUGCUAAAAUUUACAUGUUGUGAUGUAAAUUGUGUAGAAAACCAUUAAAUCAUUCAAAAUAAUAAACUAUUUUUAUUAGAGAAUGUAUACUUUUAGAAAGCUGUCUCCUUAUUUAAAUAAAAUAGUGUUUGUCUGUAGUUCAGUGUUGGGGCAAUCUUGGGGGGGAUUCUUCUCUAAUCUUUCAGAAACUUUGUCUGCGAACACUCUUUAAUGGACCAGAUCAGGAUUUGAGCGGAAGAACGAAUGUAACUUUAAGGCAGGAAAGACAAAUUUUAUUCUUCAUAAAGUGAUGAGCAUAUAAUAAUUCCAGGCACAUGGCAAUAGAGGCCCUCUAAAUAAGGAAUAAAUAACCUCUUAGACAGGUGGGAGAUUAUGAUCAGAGUAAAAGGUAAUUACACAUUUUAUUUCCAGAAAGUCAGGGGUCUAUAAAUUGACAGUGAUUAGAGUAAUACUUUUUCACAUUUCCAAAGUUUGCAUGUUAACUUUAAAUGCUUACAAUCUUAGAGUGGUAGGCAAUGUUUUACACUAUUGACCUUAUAUAGGGAAGGGAGGGGGUGCCUGUGGGGUUUUAAAGAAUUUUCCUUUGCAGAGGCAUUUCAUCCUUCAUGAAGCCAUUCAGGAUUUUGAAUUGCAUAUGAGUGCUUGGCUCUUCCUUCUGUUCUAGUGAGUGUAUGAGACCUUGCAGUGAGUUUAUCAGCAUACUCAAAAUUUUUUUCCUGGAAUUUGGAGGGAUGGGAGGAGGGGGUGGGGCUUACUUGUUGUAGCUUUUUUUUUUUUUACAGACUUCACAGAGAAUGCAGUUGUCUUGACUUCAGGUCUGUCUGUUCUGUUGGCAAGUAAAUGCAGUACUGUUCUGAUCCCGCUGCUAUUAGAAUGCAUUGUGAAACGACUGGAGUAUGAUUAAAAGUUGUGUUCCCCAAUGCUUGGAGUAGUGAUUGUUGAAGGAAAAA